rnacentral:rRNA from 1 species
UACGUAGGGUGCAAGCGUUAAUCGGAAUUACUGGGCGUAAAGCGUGCGCAGGCGGUUAUGCAAGACAGAUGUGAAAUCCCCGGGCUUAACCUGGGAACUGCAUUUGUGACUGCAUAGCUGGAGUACGGCAGAGGGGGAUGGAAUUCCGCGUGUAGCAGUGAAAUGCGUAGAUAUGCGGAGGAACACCGAUGGCGAAGGCAGUCCCCUGGGUCAAGAUUGACGCUCAUGCACGAAAGCGUGGGGAGCAAACAGG